CCUACGGGAGGCAGCAGUGGGGAAUAUUGCACAAUGGGGGAAACCCUGAUGCAGCGACGCCGCGUGAGUGAAGAAGUAAUUCGUUACGUAAAGCUCUAUCAGCAGGGAAGAAACACUGACCUUACGGUCAGCAGACGGUACCUGAGUCAGAAGCCCCGGCUAACUACGUGCCAGCAGCCGCGGUAAUACGUAGGGGGCAAGCGUUAUCCGGAUUUACUGGGUGUAAAGGGAGCGUAGGCGGUGCGCCAAGUCUGGAGUGAAAUGCCGCAGCUUAACUGCGGAACUGCUUUGGAAACUGGCGAACUAGAGUGCGGGAGGGGUAAGCGGAAUUCCUAGUGUAGCGGUGAAAUGCGUAGAUAUUAGGAGGAACACCGGUGGCGAAGGCGGCUUACUGGAACGUAACUGACGUUGAGGCUCGAAAGCGUGGGGAGCAAACAGGAUUAGAUACCCUAGUAGUC
rnacentral:rRNA from 1 species